UGGAAGGGCCAUCGCUCAACGGAUAAAAGGUACUCCGGGGAUAACAGGCUGAUACCGCCCAAGAGUUCAUAUCGACGGCGGUGUUUGGCACCUCGAUGUCGGCUCAUCACAUCCUGGGGCUGAAGUAGGUCCCAAGGGUAUGGCUGUUCGCCAUUUAAAGUGGUACGCGAGCUGGGUUUAGAACGUCGUGAGACAGUUCGGUCCCUAUCUGCCGUGGGCGCUGGAGAACUGAGGGGGGCUGCUCCUAGUACGAGAGGACCGGAGUGGACGCAUCACUGGUGUUCGGGUUGUCAUGCCAAUGGCACUGCCCGGUAGCUAAAUGCGGAAGAGAUAAGUGCUGAAAGCAUCUAAGCACGAAACUUGCCCCGAGAUGAGUUCUCCCUGAGACUUAGAGUCUCCUGAAGGAACGUUGAAGACGACGACGUUGAUAGGCCGGGUGUGUAAGCGCAGCGAUGCGUUGAGCUAACCGGUACUAAUGAACCGUGAGGCUUAACCUUACAACGCCG
rnacentral:rRNA from 1 species